CUCUCUCUCCCUCUCAAAUUAAUAAGUAAAUCUAAAAAAAAAAAAAAAAAAAAAAACUCCCAGCGGAUCCUGGGGCAGGAGAGGCAGGAAGUGCCGAGGAAGGAAAGUGAGGACUGAAACCUGACGGUGCGACCUCCCGAGCCCGCAGCACCCUUUGCCGGCGACUCUCCGUGCGCGCGGCCGCGGGAGGCCGGCCCCAGGGUUUUCGGAGGACGCGGCUGCGGGGGUGGAGGCCGCAGCCGUGGCCCGUGUGUGCCAACAGGUCGGCCGAGAGACUCAGAGAAAAAGAGUGAAGCCCCAGAGAGCAGCGGACGCGGGUGAAGCUUUCAUGCCUCGGGGGUGCCUGGGGGUGCAGUCGGCGGAGCCUUGGAUUCUUGGUUUCAGGUCCUCGUCACUCAGGUGUCACUGAAGUCCUGGCAGCAAGGAUCGGGACCGACGAGCCCUUCUGGCAUGGCGGCUGCCCAGCUCCUCGGCCAUGGGGACACACGACCCCUCACGCAGGACGUUCUAGACACAUCUCGUGCCCGGCACAGCCGCUGUUUCAGGGAUGAGCUCACCUGGACCAACAUCAACCUUAUUCAGCGCCGGGAUCUCUGGA